UUUUUGCNNUCCGUUCAGCUUGAAUAAGNGAAACCGCGAAUGGCUNAUUAAAUNAGUUNUGGNUCAUUUGUAUGUUCCAUGUAUAUGAAUAACUGCGGUAACCCUGCNGCUAAUGCAUGCUAUUGCUNUUCUACGGAGAGAACUUUUACUAGCAUAACUGGACCCAUGGGCAUNGCACCCGUGGUAAAUGAUGAAUACUGAGUAACUGAAGGACCUCCAUACGCUAUAUACAGCGGGAGGCGAUGCAUUCGAAUAUCUGCCCUAUCAACUUUGACGGUAGUGUAACGGACUACCGUGGUUGUGACGGGUGACGGGGAAUCAGGGUUCGAUUCCGGAGAGGGAGCCUGAGAAACGGCUACCACUUUCAAGAAAGGCAGCAGGCACGCAAAUUACCCAAUGUCGGGACGACGAGGUAGUGACGAAAAAUAACGAUAUGAGCCCAUUGGGUUUGUAAUCGGAAUGGAAGAGAUUUAACAAAUCUCUUGAGGAUCAAGUAGAGGGCAAGUCUGGUKCCAGCAGCCGCGGUAAUWCCAGCCUCUACAAGCAUAUGCAAAAGUUGCUGCGUUUGAAAAGCUCAUAGUUGGAUCCGUAGUCUGUUCAACUUCUUUCACGCUCGGGUCAUUGUACCCCUCGCGUGGACGUUGUUCUGGACUGUCCCUUCGUUAAGGGUGUUUGCACUUCAUUGUGUCGAACUCUCGGAACGGAGUAUUUACCUUGAGUAAAUUAGAGUGCUCAAAGCAAGCUUAUGAUUGAAUAAUAAAGCAUGGAAUAAUGGAGGAGGCCUGCUCUCUAUAUAGCACCGGUUGCUGGAGUAGCAGUAAUGGUUAAAAGGAACAGUCGGGGGCAUUUGUAUUGCUACGUUAGAGGUGAAAUUCUUGGAUCGUGGCAAGACAAACUAACGCGAAGGCAUUUGCCAAGAAUGUUUUCAUUAAUCAAGAACGAAAGUCAGAGCAUUGAAGAGGCUUAGAUACCCUCGUAAUUCUGACCAUAAACGAUACCAACUUACGAUUUGUCAAAGUCCUUUUCUGACUUGGCAAGGAGUUAACCGGGAAACCAAAGUUUUUUGGCUCCGGGGGAAGUAUGGUUGCAAAAUCGAAACUUAAAGGAAUUGACGGAAGGGCACCACCAGGAGUGGAGCCUGCGGCUUAAUUUGACUCAACACGGGAAAACUCACCAGGUCCAGACAUCGAAAGGAUUGACAGAUUGAAUAUCUUUCAUGAUUCAAUGGGUGGUGGUGCAUGGCCGUUCUUAGUUAGUGGAGUGAUCUGUCUGGUUAAUUCCGGUAACGAACGAGAUCCUAGCCAUUUAAAUAGAAGUAGUAACUUCGGUUGCUGGAGACUUCUUAGAGGAACUAUGCGGAAUAUAAUACCGCAAGGAAGUGGGGCUAUAACAGGUCUGUGAUGCCCUUAGAUGUCCUGGGCUGCACGCGCGCUACACUGAGUACAGAUAUGUGAUUGUGGAAACCUAGUCCGAAAUGGUCCGGGUAACCACCCAAAUGUACUGAUUAUGAUUGGGAUAGACUCUUGUAACUAGUAGUCUUGAACGAGGAAUUCCUAGUAAUAUCAAGUCAACAACUUGAUGUGAUUACGUCCCUGCCCUUUGUACACACCCGCCCGUCGCUWCUACUGAUUGGAUGAUUAAGCAAGAACUUCUGAAACUCGCAGCUKCAGCUUCGUGCUAAGGCAGUGACCGGAASGAGAUCRAUUUUUGUUGUCUASARGAARKAAAAGU
rnacentral:rRNA from 1 species